GCGGAAGUUUAAUAUGCAAAAGAAAGAGAAGAGUUCUCUGCUGCAGAGAGGGGUCUCAGAAAAAUGGGUUGCCGGAUCCGCGGUGAAAUGCAGGAGGUUUUAUAGAUGAGCUGGUGGGGAGGCGGCGUCUGAUCUACAUAGGCAAGAAAGGGCAAGAAAGACUGGUUAGACCAGUUGUGCUAUUUGCAUAGGGCACGAAUCUCUGGUAUCCCCCAUCCUAACCUUUUUUUAUUAUCCAGGCGCGUCUCUGCCUGAGGUGCACCAUGUUGCCCAUUUCUUUAUUACUGUACACGUGAUAACAAAAAAAGAGAAGAUGGAGCCUCCAUGUUGGACAUGGCCGCCCCCAGAUGGAGCCCCGGGGGGGCCGUGGCUGGCCUGGAGCUGGGGUGGCAGAGUCUCUCUCCUGGUUUUGCUCUCACAGAGCGUGACAUCUCCCUGGAGCAAGGUGGGACCACUGCUGAGCUCACAUCAGUCACUGUACUUCCUAGGAAGUUUUCUGAUACAACGUCAUUUCCUGUAAGUUGGGAUUUUUGCACACAGGACAAAACAAAGAUGACAGCUCAUCUCUCUUGACCCUGUGCACCUGCUCACCCAAGAGCUCCGAUGGAGACGUACAAGGAGAUUCAUGUUGUUCUCAUGCCUGCUGACACAACAUCCAUUCUUCAGCCCAUGGGUCAAGGAGUCAUUUUGACUUUCAAGUCUUAUUAUUUAAGAAAUACAUUUUGUAAGGUUAGAGCUGCAAUAAUGAUUCCCCUCACAGCUCUGAGCAAAUACACUGAAAACCUUCUGGAAAAGACUCACCAUCCUAUAUGCCAUUAAGGACACUGGUGAUUCAUGGAAGGAGGUCAAAAUAUCAACAUUAACAGAAGUUCAGAAGAAGUUGAUUCUCUGGAACCUCAAAGAUGAACCCCUCAAAGUUCAUCCUCAAAGUUGAACCCCUCAAAGUUAAUCCUCAUGGAUAAAGUUGGACACCUCAAAAUUCAUCCUCAUGGAUGACUUUGAGGGGUUCAAGACUUCAGUGGAGGAAGGAACAUCAGAUGGGAUGGAAAUAGCACAAGAACUCGAAUUAGAAGUGGAGGCUGAAGAUGUGACUGAAUUGCUAAAAUCUCAUGAACAAACUUGAAUGGAUGAGGAGCUGCUUCUAUGGAUGAGCAAAGAAAGUGGUUUCUUGAGAUGGAAUCAACUCUUGCUGAAGAUGCUGUGAACAUUGUUGAAAUGACAACAAAUUAUUUCAAAUAUUACAUGAACUUACUUGAUAAAGCAGCGGCAGGGUUUGAGAGGAUUGACUCCAAUUUUGAAACAAGUUCUACUGUGGUGGGUAAAAUGCUAUCAAACAGUAUCCUGUGUUGCAGAAAAAUACUUCAUGAAAGACAGAGUCAAUCAAUGAGGCAAAUUUCAUUGUUGUCUUAUUUUAAGAAAUUGCCACAGUCAUUCCAACCUUCAGCAACCACCUCCCUAAUCAAUCAGUAGUUAUCAACAUUGAGGCAAGACCCUCCACCAGCAAAAAGAUUACAACUUGCUGAAGGCUCAGAUAAUCAUUAGCAUUACCAACCCAAAUGUCCAUCAAUGAUAGACUGGAUAAAGAAAAUGUGCCACAUAUAUGCCAUGGAAUACUAUGCAGCCAUAAAGAAGAAUGAGAUCAUGUCCUUUGCAGGGACAUGGAUGAAGCUGGAAACCAUCAUUCUCAGCAAACUAACACAGGAACAGAAAACCAAACACUGCAUGUUCUCACUCAUAAGUGGGAGUUUAACAAUAAGAACACAUGGACAUGGGGCGGGGAACAUCACACACUGGGGCCUGUAGAGGGGUGGAGGGCAAGGGGAGGGAGAGCAUUAGGACAAAUACCUAAUGCAUGAGGGGCUUAAAACCUAGAUGAUGGGUUGGUAGGUGCAGCAAACCACCACGGCACAUGUGUACCUAUGUAACAAAUCUGCACGUUCUGCACAUGUGUCCCAGAGCUUAAAGUAAAAAAAGAAAAGAAACCAGUAGUUGCCCCUACUGUCUGUUCUUCCUUUUUCCUUACUAGAAAAAUCUACACGUUUUUAUUGGGCACAAGGCCUACUCAGAAGAAAAUAUAUAUUUCUACACCAGCAUUGUAGCUAAGUGCAAUCGCAGUGGUGAAGUCCUAUGCAAUAUGUAAAUGUUGUGAGAAGAUAUUUAAAUGGAGUGGACAUGCCCAUUUCCUCUUCUCUCUUUCUCCUGGCUAUAAAGUAGAUGUGAUGGCUGGAGCUAGAGUGACCAUCUGGAACCACCUGGUGAACUUGAGCUUGAGACUCUAACACUGCAGAGUGUCAUACCAACUGUGAUGACCUACUCAGACUUCUAAGUAAGACAGCAAUAAACUUCAUUCUGAUUUAACCCACUGUUACUUUGAGCUUUUUCUAUUACAGUCAAGUCUAAUCCUAACCGAUAUAUGCUCCCUUCAACUUUUCCUCAGGCACUGGGAGAAAAGACAGAGCACAAAAGAUGCAACCUCAAACUGAAUUUCUAAGAGGAAGACGAGUCUCAGGGCAAUGGGAA
rnacentral:lncRNA from 1 species